UUGCUCACUUCAGCAGCACAUAUACUAAAAUUGGAAAGAUACAGAGAAGAUUAGCAUGGCCCCUGAGCAAGGAUGACAUGAAAAUUCAUGAAGCGUUCCAAUCUUUU
rnacentral:snRNA from 1 species